rnacentral:rRNA from 1 species
GAUGAACGCUGGCGGCGUGCCUAAUACAUGCAAGUCGAGCGAACAGACGAGGAGCUUGCUCCUUCGACGUUAGCGGCGGACGGGUGAGUAACACGUAGGUAACCUACCUAUAAGACUGGGAUAACUUCGGGAAACCGGAGCUAAUACCGGAUAAUAUUUCGAGCCGCAUGGUUCGAUAGUGAAAGAUGGCUUUGCUAUCACUUAUAGAUGGACCUGCGCCGUAUUAGCUAGUUGGUAAGGUAACGGCUUACCAAGGCAACGAUACGUAGCCGACCUGAGAGGGUGAUCGGCCACACUGGAACUGAGACACGGUCCAGACUCCUACGGGAGGCAGCAGUAGGGAAUCUUCCGCAAUGGGCGAAAGCCUGACGGAGCAACGCCGCGUGAGUGAUGAAGGUCUUCGGAUCGUAAAACUCUGUUAUUAGGGAAGAACAAACGUGUAAGUAACUGUGCACGUCUUGACGGUACCUAAUCAGAAAGCCACGGCUAACUACGUG